rnacentral:rRNA from 1 species
AUUACUCCUACGGGAGGCAGCAGUGGGGAAUAUUGGACAAUGGGCGAAAGCCUGAUCCAGCAAUGCCGCGUGAGUGAUGAAGGCCCUAGGGUUGUAAAGCUCUUUUACCCGGGAUGAUAAUGACAGUACCGGGAGAAUAAGCUCCGGCUAACUUCGUGCCAGCAGCCGCGGUAAUAAU